AUAAGCCUACACGUUCUCUCCCUCUCCCACUUGUCUUCUCUUUUGUAAUUUCUCUCUUCUUGUUCUCACCGUCCUCCAUGGCUGAUCCACUGAAGGUCCUAUAUCCUUACCACCACUUCAAAUAACCUCCUCAAUAGCUUGAAUCCAACAAGUAUGAUCUUCCAUGAGUUUUGGCUGCCCCAAACAAUGCUUUUAAGGUUUCGAGAUUCUUGGUGAUGGACCUAGUAAUUGGAUUGCUUGCUUAGGUGGUGGUGCCUGGUUGAGGUAAAAUUGGUUGGCCUCCUGAGGCAUGGAGCUUGUUUUAUUGGUGGUGAUUGGAGCAUUAUGCUAAUUGAGGGAUUUAUGCUAUGAUUGAUUGGUGACUCAACUUUCUAAAUUUAUUGAGGCCAUAGCUAAUUCUAUCGAAGGUUGGGCCCUUGAGGUUUGUUAACCUUGGGCAUGGUAGGCAUAGAUUCUAUCGUCCUGGUUGCCUUUCCUUGGAAGGAUUGUGAUAUGAUGUUGAUCCAUUUGGAGUUUUGGAAUUCCGUGUAUAUUUGGAGACAUUAUUUGUAAUUCGUAUUGUUUGUAAAUGUGUUAUAGAGUUUUGACUUGUAA